rnacentral:lncRNA from 1 species
UAUUAUUAUUAUUAUUAUUAUUAUUAUUAUUAUUAUUAUUAUUAUUAUUAUUAUUUAUUUAUUUAUUUAUUUAUUUUGUGCUUUGGAAAUGUGUCUUAUUUUCUACUGCAUCAAUUCCAUAUCUAGCAGGCUCAUCAUAAUAGCAAAACAAUGUCUAGAAGGCCCACUUCCACUCGUCACCUUACAGACAGUGGGAGCAAUCCAUUUGUGGGUUCAUUGCAUCCCAAAUCACGCCCAUCUCCUCUAUUAUCUAUAGGGCAUCUUUCUGUGGUAAGAGGUGGUGUCGUUAUCUUGACUGGUAGGAGGUGGUGUCGUUGGCAGGGUUGCCAAUCACAAACCUAUGUUGGACACAUUAUCAGUGCUGGAAAAUAAUGAUCAAGGAUUCCUCUUUAUCUUCUAGUAUCUACGUUAGCACACAUGAUUAGAUACUGGAACACUUGUAUCUUUAAUGUGAGUUUACCGAAUUGUUUAUUAUGAUUUGAUCUCAAAUUAAUUAAUUUCGAUCAGGGAAGGGCAGCAUAGAUUUUCUUGAUGCCAGCCUUGUAUGUGAAUUUCAUGACCAGUUGAGCACGGAAAAAUGAGUAAAUUUAAUGUGCUAAUAUAAAUUGAAGACAUCUCUGCAUCCAAUUGAGUGAUUGAUGAGUACUUAGAGAAUGCGGUCAUGUCAUAUUCAUUUACACUUGGUAUGUUUAAGUCAUUUUAUGUUGUAUUUAUACUUCCACAAGCUAACAAUUUUC